GAUAAAAGUGACAGAUACUCUGGAUGCACAGAAUUUGCAGUGGAUGAGGUGACAGCUUGUGCUAAAGAAGAGACAAAGCUUAACAAGAAAAUACUUGGUUAUGCUUCAGAAGAAUCUUCAUCAAGAUCAGAUAUCAGUGAGGAUGAUUACGUGCCAGAUACUGAAGAGUCUGACAGUAACACUUCAGAAAAAGUAGAGAGUUUAGUAAAAAAGAUAAGUAAUAAUAAGAAAAAGGUAAAGUCAACUUCAAAUGUUCCAGCAUGUAAAAAAAGACGUGUGUCUCCUUCACAAUCCUCUGCAUCUGACAAACAGGACAGUUCACUUCAAUCUUCUUCAUCAGGAGAACAUGAAGAAUCACAUUCACCCAAUAAUCUUAAUGUGAAUGUCAUGAUGCUCAAAAAAAAAAAAGAUGGAGCCAGACUAUAUAACAAAAAGUUUUACUGCCUAUUCUGCUUCAAACCAUUCAGUAAAAUCGCACGUCACCUAGAGUCUAAACAUAAAGAUAAGCUAGAGGUGGCAAGAGCGAUUGCUUUUCCGAAAGGCUCUAAAGAGCGAAAAAUACAGCUGAGUUUGUUAAGGAAUAAGGGGAACCGAUGUCAUAACGCUCAGGUACUCAGUGAAGGAAGAGGAACGGUGAUUCCUAAACAACAAUCCACUGCACCAGUAAAUGCAAGUGAUUAUUUGCACUGCAUUAACUGUUCAGCGUAUCUGAAGAGAAAAUCGCUAUGGCGGCAUAUGCAAAGAUGCCAGCUGAGCCAGAAAAUUAACAAAAUGAAGCCAGGGAAAACUCGUGUUCAGUCACUUUGCUCAUAUGCUGAACCUGUU